CUAAUACCUGCAGUCUGAGCGAAUGGAUUAAGAGCUUGCUCUUAUGAAGUUAGCGGCGGACGGGUGAGUAACACGUGGGUAACCUGCCCAUAAGACUGGGAUAACUCCGGGAAACCGGGGCUAAUACCGGAUAACUAUUUUGAACCUGCAUGGUUCGAAAUUGAAAGGCGGCUUCGGCUGUCACUUAUGGAUGGACCCGCGUCGCAUUAGCUAGUUGGUGAGGUAACGGCUCACCAAGGCAACGAUGCGUAGCCGACCUGAGAGGGUGAUCGGCCACACUGGGACUGAGACACGGCCCAGACUCCUACGGGAGGCAGCAGUAGGGAAUCUUCCGCAAUGGACGAAAGUCUGACGGAGCAACGCCGCGUGAGUGAUGAAGGCUUUCGGGUCGUAAAACUCUGUUGUUAGGGAAGAACAAGUGCUAGUUGAAUAAGCUGGCACCUUGACGGUACCUAACCAGAAAGCCACGGCUAACUACGUGCCAGCAGCCGCGGUAAUACGUAGGUGGCAAGCGUUAUCCGGAAUUAUUGGGCGUAAAGCGCGCGCAGGUGGUUUCUUAAGUCUGAUGUGAAAGCCCACGGCUCAACCGUGGAGGGUCAUUGGAAACUGGGAGACUUGAGUGCAGAAGAGGAAAGUGGAAUUCCAUGUGUAGCGGUGAAAUGCGUAGAGAUAUGGAGGAACACCAGUGGCGAAGGCGACUUUCUGGUCUGUAACUGACACUGAGGCGCGAAAGCGUGGGGAGCAAACAGGAUUAG
rnacentral:rRNA from 2 species